rnacentral:rRNA from 1 species
GACGAACGCUGGCGGCGUGCUUAACACAUGCAAGUCGAACGGAAAGGCCCAGCUUUCCUGCUGUACGCGUGUCGAACGGGUGUGUAACACGCGGGUGAUCUCCCCCUAAUACCGCGAUAUGCUCUGGAAACUCGGUCUAAUAUCGGAUAGGUCAAUCGCUCAGUGUCGGUUGUGGAGAGUUUUUUCGGUGAGGGAUGAGCGCGCGCCCUAUCAGCGUGUUGGUGGGGUAAUGGCCUAUCACGGCGCCGCCGGGUAGACGGCCUGAGAGGGUGGGCGGCCACAUUGGGACUGAGACAGGGCCCACACUCAUACGGGGGACAGCAGUGGGGAAUAGUGCACAAUGGGCGCGAGUGAGAUGCAGAGGCGCCGUGUGGGAGAUGGCGGCCUGCGGGGUAUAAACCUCUUGCGACAGGGACGGAGCUUUGGUGACGGUAGCUUGAGAAGAAGCACCGGCUAACUACGUG